rnacentral:rRNA from 1 species
CCUACGGGUGGCAGCAGUGAGGAAUAUUGGUCAAUGGGCGAGAGCCUGAACCAGCCAAGUCGCGUGAGGGAAGACGGUCCUAUGGAUUGUAAACCUCUUUUGCCGGGGAGCAAAAAGCGGUACGUGUACCGCAUCGAGAGUACCCGGAGAAAAAGCAUCGGCUAACUCCGUGCCAGCAGCCGCGGUAAUACGGAGGAUGCGAGCGUUAUCCGGAUUUAUUGGGUUUAAAGGGAGCGUAGGCCGCAUGUCAAGCGUGCUGUGAAAUGUCCGGGCUCAACCCGGGCCUUGCAGCGCGAACUGGCGUGCUUGAGUCCGCGGAAAGCAGGCGGAAUUCGUCGUGUAGCGGUGAAAUGCUUAGAUAUGACGAAGAACCCCGAUUGCGAAGGCAGCUUGCUGCAGCGGAACUGACGCUGAUGCUCGAAAGCGCGGGUAUCGAACAGGAUUAGAUACCCGAGUAGUC